CAAAGAUCAGCUGUUCCCAGCAAAAUCAAAUGGCAGUAUUUUCAACCAGCAAAUUUGCGCAUGUGUUCGUGACACCGCUCGGCGAGAGCUCAAUGGCGUCCAGGUCGUGGUACACGUUGGGUUGUUUUUCUUUGCGGAUUUUGAUGUGUCUACUUCCGUACGGAUUGAUUGCAAAUUUGGACGAAAUCCCGAUCAGCUUUAUCUUCCAUGUUCGCUCGGAAAGCAAGGGAAUCUUGUUCGGAUGCCUACACUGAGAAAAAUCUACACGUCAAGGUCGUGUGUUUUACUUAUAGAUUUGCG